rnacentral:rRNA from 1 species
UACGUAGGUGGCAAGCGUUGUCCUGAUUUACUGGGCGUAAAGAGCGCGCAGGCGGUCGGUCAAGUCGCGUGUGAAAGCCCCCGGCUCAACUGGGGAGGGUCACGCGAUACUGAUCGACUCGAAGGCAGGAGAGGGAAGUGGAAUUCCCGGUGUAGUGGUGAAAUGCGUAGAUAUCGGGAGGAACACCAGUGGCGAAGGCGACUUCCUGGCCUGUUCUUGACGCUGAGGCGCGAAAGCUAGGGGAGCAAACGGG